rnacentral:rRNA from 1 species
CCUACGGGAGGCAGCAGUGGGGAAUUUUGGACAAUGGGCGCAAGCCUGAUCCAGCCAUGCCGCGUGCAGGAUGAAGGCCUUCGGGUUGUAAACUGCUUUUGUACGGAACGAAAAGACUCUGGUUAAUACCUGGGGUCCAUGACGGUACCGUAAGAAUAAGCACCGGCUAACUACGUGCCAGCAGCCGCGGUAAUACGUAGGGUGCGAGCGUUAAUCGGAAUUACUGGGCGUAAAGCGUGCGCAGGCGGUUAUAUAAGACAGAUGUGAAAUCCCCGGGCUCAACCUGGGAACUGCAUUUGUGACUGUAUAGCUAGAGUACGGCAGAGGGGGAUGGAAUUCCGCGUGUAGCAGUGAAAUGCGUAGAUAUGG